rnacentral:rRNA from 1 species
CCUACGGGUGGCAGCAGUGAGGAAUAUUGGUCAAUGGACGAGAGUCUGAACCAGCCAAGUCGCGUGAAGGAUGAAUGCCCUAUGGGUUGUAAACUUCUUUUAUAUAGGAAUAACACGAGGCACGUGUUCCUUUUUGUAUGUACUUUAUGAAUAAGGAUCGGCUAACUCCGUGCCAGCAGCCGCGGUAAUACGGAGGAUCCGAGCGUUAUCCGGAUUUAUUGGUUUUAAAGGGAGCGUAUAUGGGUUGUUAAGUCAGUUGUGAAAGUUUGCGGCUCAACCGUAAAAUUGCAAUUGAUACUGGCAGUCUUGAGUACAUUUGAGGUAGGCGGAAUGCGUGGUGUAGCGGUGAAAUGCUUAGAUAUCACGAAGAACCCCGAUUGCGAAGGCAGCUUACUAAACUGUGACUGACAUUGAUGCUCGAAAGUGUGGGGAUCAAACAGGAUUAGAUACCCGGGUAGUC